GACGAACGCUGGCGGCGUGCCUAAUACAUGCAAGUCGAGCGGACGGAUGGGAGCUUGCUCCCUGAAGUCAGCGGCGGACGGGUGAGUAACACGUGGGCAACCUGCCUGUAAGACUGGGAUAACUUCGGGAAACCGGAGCUAAUACCGGAUAAUUCYUUYCCUCACAUGAGGGAARGCUGAAAGAUGGUUUCGGCUAUCACUUACAGAUGGGCCCGCGGCGCAUUAGCUAGUUGGUGAGGUAACGGCUCACCAAGGCAACGAUGCGUAGCCGACCUGAGAGGGUGAUCGGCCACACUGGGACUGAGACACGGCCCAGACUCCUACGGGAGGCAGCAGUAGGGAAUCUUCCGCAAUGGACGAAAGUCUGACGGAGCAACGCCGCGUGAGUGAUGAAGGUUUUCGGAUCGUAAAACUCUGUUGUUAGGGA
rnacentral:rRNA from 1 species